rnacentral:rRNA from 1 species
GACAGAGGGUGCAAACGUUGUUCGGAAUUACUGGGCGUAAAGCGCGUGUAGGCUGCCUUGCAAGUCGGGUGUGAAAGCCUUGAGCUCAACUCAAGAAAUGCACUCGAUACUGGAUGACUUGAGGACCGGAGAGGAUAGUGGAAUUCCCAGUGUAGUGGUGAAAUACGUAGAGAUUGGGAAGAACACCAGUGGCGAAGGCGGCUAUCUGGACGGUUUCUGACGCUAAGACGCGAAAGCGUGGGGAGCAAACGGG